GGAUGAUCAGCCACACUGGAGCUGAGACACGGUCCAGACUCCUACGGGAGGCAGCAGUGGGGAAUCUUGCACAAUGGGCGAAAGCCUGAUGCAGCAACGCCGCGUGCGGGAUGAAGGCCCUAGGGUUGUAAACCGCUUUCAGUAGGGAAAAAUGACGGUACCUACAGAAGAAGGUGCGGCCAACUACGUGCCAGCAGCCGCGGUGACACGUAGGCACCAAGCGUUAUCCGGAUUUAUUGGGCGUAAAGAGCUCGUAGGCGGUUUGGUAAGUCGGGUGUGAAAACUCUGGGCUCAACCCAGAGAGGCCACCCGAUACUGCUAUGACUAGAGUACGGUAGGGGAGCGGGGAAUUCAUGGUGUAGCGGUGAAAUGCGCAGAUAUCAUGAGGAACACCAGCGGCGAAGGCGCCGCUCUGGGCCGUAACUGACGCUGAGGAGCGAAAGCAUGGGUAGCAAACAGGAUUAGAUACCCAGGUAGUCCAUGCCGUAAACGUUGGGCACUAGGUGUGGGUCUCAACCAACGAGAUCCGCGCCGUCGCUAACGCAUUAAGUGCCCCGCCUGGGGAGUACGGUCGCAAGACUAAAACUCAAAGGAAUUGACGGGGGCCCGCACAAGCAGCGGAGCGUGUUGCUUAAUUCGAUGCAACGCGAAGAACCUUACCUGGGUUUGACAUGUACCGAAAAGCUCUAGAGAUAGGGUGUCCUUCGGGGCGGUACACAGGUGGUGCAUGGCUGUCGUCAGCUCGUGUCGUAAGAUGUUGGGUUAAGUCCCGCAACGAGCGCAACCCUUAUCCUAUGUUGCCAGCACGUAAUGGUGGGGACUCGUAGGAGACUGCCGGGGUCAACUCGGAGGAAGGUGGGGAUGACGUCAAGUCAUCAUGCCCCUUAUGCCCAGGGCUGCAAACACGCUACAAUGGCCGGUACAGAGGGCUGCGAUCCCGCGAGGGUGAGCGAAUCCCACAAAGCCGGUCUCAGUUCGGAUUGGAGUCUGCAACUCGACUCCAUGAAGCCGGAGUUGCUAGUAAUCCUGGAUCAGCACGCCAGGGUGAAUACGUUCCCGGGCCUUGUACACACCGCCCGUCACACCACGAAAGUCGGCAACACCCGAAGCCGGUGGCCCAACUCGCAAGAGAGGGAGCCGUCGAAGGUGGGGUCGGUGAUUGGGGUGAAGUCGGAACAAGGUAGCCGUACCGGAAGGUGCGGCUG
rnacentral:rRNA from 1 species